rnacentral:rRNA from 1 species
CGUGAGGGUUCGGCCCUCGGCAGACGGCUCAGUAACACGUAGAUAAUUUGCCCUUAGGUGGAGGAUACCCUCGGGAAACUGAGAAUAAUACUCCAUAGAUCUAGACUGCUGGAAUGCUUUUAGAUUGAAAGAUUUAUCGCCUAAGGAUAAGUCUGCGGACUAUCAGGUCGUAGUUAGGGUAACUACCUGACUAGCCUACGACGGAUACGGGUUGUGAGAGCACUAGCCCGGAGAUGAUAUCUGAGACACGAUAUCAGGCCCUACGGGGCGCAGCAGGCGCGAAAACUUCGCACUGUGCGAAAGCACGACGAGGGAAUCCCAAGUGCUGGCUCGUAAGAGUCAGCUGUUUCUUUGUCUAAAAAACAGAGAGAGUAAGGGCUGGGUAAGACGGGUGCCAGCCGCCGCGGUAAUACCUGCAGCCCGAGUGGUGGCCGCUAUUAUUGGGCCUAAAACGUCCGUAGCCGGUUCUAUAAAUGCCUGGGUAAAUCGUACGGCUUAACCGUACGAAUUCCGGGUAGACUGUUCAACUUGGGACCGGGAGAGGCUAGAGGUACUCCUGGGGUAGAGGUGAAAUUCUGUAAUCCUAGGGGGACCACCAGUGGCGAAGGCGUCUAGCUAGAACGGGUCUGACGGUGAGGGACGAAGCCCUGGGGAGCAAACGGGAUUAGAUACCCCGGUAGUCCAGGGUGUAAACGCUGCUCGCUUGAUGUUAGUCGGGCUCCGAGCCCAACUAGUGUCGGAGAGAAGUUGUUAAGCGAGCUGCCUGGGAAGUACGGUCGCAAGACUGAAACUUAA